UACAGAGGUCUCAAGCGUUGUUCGGAUUCAUUGGGCGUAAAGGGUGUGUAGGUGGCGCCGUAAGUCGGGUGUGAAAUUUCGGAGCUUAACUCCGAAACUGCAUUCGAUACUGCGGUGCUUGAGGACUGGAGAGGAGACUGGAAUUCAUGGUGUAGCAGUGAAAUGCGUAGAUAUCGUGAGGAAGACCAGUGGCGAAGGCGGAUCUCUGGACAGUUCCUGACGCUGAGGCGCGAAGGCCAGGGGAGCAAACGGG
rnacentral:rRNA from 1 species